AAAUUGAAGAGUUUGAUCAUGGCUCAGAUUGAACGCUGGCGGCAGGCUUAACACAUGCAAGUCGAGCGGUAGCACAGAGAGCUUGCUCUCGGGUGACGAGCGGCGGACGGGUGAGUAAUGUCUGGGAAACUGCCUGAUGGAGGGGGAUAACUACUGGAA
rnacentral:rRNA from 1 species